rnacentral:rRNA from 1 species
GACGGAGGGGGCAAGCGUUGUUCGGAAUUACUGGGCGUAAAGCGCGCGUAGGCGGCUUGCAAAGUCUGGCGUGAAAGCCCGGGGCUCACCCCGGGAAGUGCAUUUGAAACUGGCGAGCUCGAGUCCCGGAGAGGAGGGUGGAAUUUCCGGUGUAGAGGUGAAAUGGGUAGAUAUCAGGAGGAACACCGGUGGCGAAGGCGGCCCUCUGGACGGUGACUGACGCUGAGGCGCGAAAGCGUGGGGAGCAAACAGG